UUCCAACCCACAGCAAAAUGGCCACUCGGUCGCCAUCUUAAGGUCCUGAAGAAUGUCAACAGUUGAUGAAGAACAUUCCAGAUUUGGGGAAAAUCCGUGCAAAAGCACAGAAAUGAAUACACAGAGGAUUAAAGAGUUUGAAUGCAUACAUAUCUUAAAAACCAAGUCUAGUACAGCAUAAUCACGUGGUGUUUUCUUUCAUUCUAUUAUUGUGAUGCAUUACAAUGAUUUUCUUAUGGUGAAGCAUUCCUGUAUUCCUAGGAUACAUCUCACUUGGACAGGACUUCAAACUUCAAACAGCAGUUUCAGCAUCUCUACAGAAGACCAUUAUGCUUAGGAGAAGUACUAAAGAUGCCUGUUGGAAAAACAAAUUAUAAUCAAGGCAAAAAGCUCAAGAGAACAGGAAAUAAAUAAACCAAAAAGUAUUUUCCUCAAA